rfam:Kluyvera ascorbata ATCC 33433 GKAS.assembly.014, whole genome shotgun sequence.
AUGAACAGUACCGGAGGCGGAUCACGACGAUCCGGGGGCAUCCCUGCUGACGCAGGCGGCCUGCACAUCGUGUAGCACCGUACCCCGCCAUACCUCAACUUUCGCCUUCCGGCGCACCGGUAUUGUUCA